rfam:Gossypium hirsutum cultivar TM-1 chromosome 8, whole genome shotgun sequence
UGUUAAAAAAUUCAUUCAUUUUUAUGAUUAAAAAUUGUGUGGUUGUUAAAAUAACCAAAUAAUUACACAUAAUAUGCCACAUGUACCUCAUUUUUACGUACACGGAUCAAUUUUUAAUAAUAGAAAUAGAAGAAAUUUUUAUUA